GAUGAACGCUGGCGGCGUGCCUAAUACAUGCAAGUCGAGCGGACGGACGCGGAGCUUGCUUUUCUGAUGUUAGCGGCGGACGGGUGAAUAACACGUGGAUACCCUACCUAUAAGACUGGGAUAACUUCGGGAAACCGGAGCUAAUACCGGAUAAUAUUUUGAACCGCAUGGUUCAAAAGUGAAAGACGGUCUUGCUGUCACUUAUAGAUGGAUCCGCGCUGCAUUAGCUAGUUGGUAAGGUAACGGCUUACCAAGGCAACGAUGCAUAGCCGACCGGAGAGGCUGGUCGGCCACCCUGGAACGGAGACACGGACCAUACUCCUACGGGAGGCAGCAGUAGGGAAUCUGCCGCAAUGGGCGAAAGCCUGACGGAGCAACGCCGCGUGAGUGAUGAAGGUCUUCGGAUCGUAAAACUCUGUUAUUAGGGAAGAACAUAUGUGUAAGGAACUGUGCACAUCUUGACGGUACCUAAUCAGAAAGCCACGGCUAACUACGUG
rnacentral:rRNA from 1 species